AAAACCCAGGGAACCCACU
rnacentral:misc_RNA from 1 species